rnacentral:ribozyme from 12 species
AAGAAAGCUAUAAAAGUAAAUAAGUAAAGAAAGCUUGUUCUACCUAAUACCAUUUCUUUCUUUCUUUCUAAUUGUAGUAUUGAUCAUUAAUGUCCUUUUUUCCCUCUUCUCCAUUAUCCCAAUGCGUGCCA